rnacentral:RNase_MRP_RNA from 1 species
UUUGUGAGAAAGUCUCCUGGCACCUUCUGUAGAGAGAAUUUUCGCCGCGAAAUUUUCAUUGCUG